GUGGGGAAUAUUGCACAAUGGGGGAAACCCUGAUGCAGCGACGCCGCGUGGAGGAAGAAGGUUUUCGGAUUGUAAACUCCUGUCUUCGGGGACGAUAAUGACGGUACCCGAGGAGGAAGCCACGGCUAACUACGUGCCAGCAGCCGCGGUAAAACGUAGGUGGCAAGCGUUGUCCGGAAUUACUGGGUGUAAAGGGAGCGCAGGCGGGUCGGCAAGUUGGAGGUGAAAGCUGUGGGCUCAACUCACAAACUGCCUUCAAAACUGCCGGUCUUGAGUGGUGUAGAGGUAGGCGGAAUUCCCGGUGUAGCGGUGGAAUGCGUAGAUAUCGGGAGGAACACCAGUGGCGAAGGCGGCCUACUGGGCACUAACUGACGCUGAGGCUCGAAAGCAUGGGUAGCAAACAGGA
rnacentral:rRNA from 1 species